UACGAAGGGGGCUAGCGUUGCUCGGAAUGACUGGGCGUAAAGGGCGCGUAGGCGGUUUGGACAGUCAGGCGUGAAAUUCCUGGGCUUAACCUGGGGGCUGCGCUUGAUACAUCCAGACUUGAGUGGGGAAGAGGGUCGUGGAAUUCCCAGCGUAGAGGUGAAAUUCGUAGAUAUUGGGAAGAACACCGGUGGCGAAGGCGGCGACCUGGUCCUUUACUGACGCUGAGGCGCGAAAGCGUGGGGAGCAAACAGG
rnacentral:rRNA from 1 species